CCCAUAUUUACUAAAGUUCGUAGACGUAGACGUAAACGUAGGAUUUACGUCUGACUUAAGAUUAGAGUUACGUACUCGUGAAAUGGUAUUUACAAAACCGUUCGUAGCCGCAAACGUAACUUACGAUGUACGAUUGCACUUACGCGUGCGCAAUGGCUAUUUUCACUUCGAAGCGUAAAAAGUGUGAAUUUGCUCAUUUACUUUGACUUCCCUGCGCUACCGCCGCAUUAUGACGGAAAAGAACACAGAACUUUGUGAGAAAGCAACGAAUUUCAACGUAUACGUAUGUCUGCCAACGGCAUGUCGAUCAACUGUACCGUUAUUCAGUGUUGUUUACAAAUUCAAAUGGAAGGUUCAUCAAAUUUAACGCAUUUGACUUGUGCAUGGAUCUGCGAUGCUGUAGGUGUUCAAAAAGAAGUCGGCAUGGACUGACAAGGUCAUAAAGGUGGUCAAGAAAUAAAUUGCCAACAUACAGCAGCAUUCCUUGAUUUAGAUACAUUUCUCUUCAUGUCCUCUCCUGAAAGAUUUUCCAUGAUGCCUCAGGGUUAGGACUGGGAUGCAAGAUGUACAGUACAUAUAUAUGAUGUCUAUGGGUACAUUGCUGUAAUGGCCUGAAAAAUCUUUUGCGAAACCGAGAAAUGUUCAUCUUCCAUUGCCAUGAUUGUGUAAAAGGACGAGCAGAGGAAUGAUUCAAAAAUAUAUGGCAGGAUUGAGAAUCUAACCCAUGACCCGUAGUCUGGUACUCUACCCACUGAUCAAUCCAUGCUGAUGGUCCAUCUGCUACAUUGAUGUCAUCUUAUAUAUUUAUUUAUUCAUUUAUAUAUCAUAUGGACAUUUAAAAAUUGACAGUAAAAUAAAAAAAAGUUUGAUAUUCAGCAAAAUAGAAUUUGUUACAAUACAUGUUUAAGAAAUUAAGUACAUGUACAUGCAUUGUUAUGCAUACAAUUAUGUACAUGUAAUUAUAUUUGUUAAUAGAUAAAUUCUUAGAUGAAUUUUCAUGUUGUUAUUGAUAUUGACAUGUACAUGUAUUACUUCCAUUUCUAGAAUGAUUUUAACAUCUUGAUAUUAAAAUGAUGACAUAAUAAAUAAAUCUUAAAUAUUUGUCAACAAA